GACGAACGCUGGCGGCGUGCUUAACACAUGCAAGUCGAACGGGUCUGCCCUGUUUUUUGCGGGGUGGGUCAGUGGCGAACGGGUGAGUAACACGUGAGUAACCUGCCCCUCACUUCUGGAUAACCGCUUGAAAGGGUGGCUAAUACGGGGUGUUCUGGCUGUGCCGCAUGGUGUGGCUGGGAAAGAUUCACUUUUGUGGUGUUUUGGUGGGGGAUGGGCUCGCGGCCUAUCAGCUUGUUGGGGGGGUGAUGGCCUGCCAAGGCUUUGACGGGUAGCCGGCCUGAGAGGGUGGGCGGUCACACUGGGACUGAGAUACGGCCCAGACUCCUGCGGGAGGCAGCAGUGGGGGGUAUUGCACAAUGGGCGGAAGCCUGAUGCAGCGACGUCGCGUGAGGGAUGGAGGCCUUCGGGUUGUGAACCUCUUUCGCCGGUGAAGAAGGUCCUGCUCUUUGUGGUGGGGUUGACGGUAGCCGGGUUAUGAAGCGCCGGCUAACUACGUG
rnacentral:rRNA from 1 species